rnacentral:rRNA from 1 species
GUGAGUCAUCGAGUCUUUGAACGCACCUUGCACCCUUUGGUAUUCCGAAGGGUAUGCCUGUUUGAGUGUCAUUAAUAUUCUCAACCGUUGGCUUGGGUUUGUCCCUUGCUGAUUGGCUUGGAUUUGAGGGUGUUGUGUCGGUCCACUUGAACCACUUUGCUGGUUGAAGACGGUCGACUCCCUUUAAAAGCAUUAGUGGGUUAGAUCUAGUUGUGGAUAUGCCUCGAUUUGAUAACUAUCAUAAUGUCGUUGCGAUGAAACAAUGAGAACCUGCUUCCAACUGUCCUUGACAAGGACUGCUCCAGUUUGGAGUAUUAGAGUCGUUGCCUCUGGCUUGACUUGUAAACAAAUAUUUGACCUCAAAUCAGUAGGACUACCGCUGAACUUAAGCAUAUCAAUAAGCCGGAGG